rnacentral:rRNA from 1 species
GCCGGUACCGUAUGAAUAAGCAUCGGCUAACUCCGUGCCAGCAGCCGCGGUAAUACGGAGGAUGCGAGCGUUAUCCGGAUUCAUUGGUUAAAGGGUGCGUAGGCGGAAGUAUAAGUCAGGGGUGAAAGUUUGUGGCUCAACCAUAAAAUUAGCCUUUGAUACUGUAUUUCUUGAGUACAUUUGAGGUAGGCGGAAUGUGUUGUGUAGCGGUGAAAUGCUUAGAUAUAACACAGAACACCGAUUGCGAAGGCAGCUUACUAAACUAGUAACUGACGCUGAUGCACGAAAGCGUGGGGAUCGAACAGGAUUAGAUACCCUGGUAG